rnacentral:rRNA from 1 species
UGGGGAAUAUUGGACAAUGGGCGCAAGCCUGAUCCAGCAAUACCGCGUGUGUGAAGAAGGCCUGAGGGUUGUAAAGCACUUUUAAUCGGGAGGAAUAGCGGUCGGUUAAUACCCGGUCGUCUGACAUUACCGAUAGAAAAAGCACCGGCUAACUCCGUGCCAGCAGCCGCGGUAAUACGGAGGGUGCAAGCGUUAAUCGGAAUUACUGGGCGUAAAGCGUGCGUAGGCGGUUGCUUAAGUCAGAUGUGAAAGCCCCGGGCUUAACCUGGGAACUGCAUUUGAUACUGGGCGACUAGAGUUGAGUAGAGGAGAGUGGAAUUUCAGGUGUAGCGGUGAAAUGCGUAGAGAUCUGAAGGAACACCAGUGGCGAAGGCGACUCUCUGGACUCAAACUGACGCUG